GGCCCAGUAGCGGAUGGUCCGCACCUGCAUCUCUUGACUGGAUCGCACAGUGCAUGCAGGAGCCGCUCGUUCGAAUCGAGCCUGGGUCA